AUGCCAUGAUAUGGACAUUGUCUCUGAAUUAAACCUCUCCCAAUCUUCAUAUAAUGUCCCAUCUUUUUGUUGAUCAAAAGUGGUAAUGUCAUUCUUUAACUU